rnacentral:misc_RNA from 1 species
GACCCGCCAAUGGACCGGAUCGGGACCGAGGCCGGAGCCGGGCGAUAAGAAACACCCGGAGGAGCUCCGAUCAUUUUCGACCGGAUCGCCUUCGGGACCGCAAAUCUCAUCCCACCGCCGCCGACGCCAUUCGACAUCAAGCCGUGGAGGCUUCGAGUGGCGCGAGGAUCAUCAUCAUCUUCAUCCUCAUCCACAUCAUCA